AGAGUUUGAUCCUGGCUCAGAACGAACGCUGGCGGCGCGCCUAAUACAUGCAAGUCGAGCGAGAAGACGUAGCAAUACGUUUGUAAAGCGGCGAACGGGUGAGGAAUACAUGGGUAACCUACCCUCGAGUGGGGAAUAACUAGCCGAAAGGUUAGCUAAUACCGCAUACGACUCCUGGUCUGUGGAUCGGGAGGGAAAGCGAUACCGUGGGUAUCGCGCUCUUGGAUGGGCUCAUGUCCUAUCAGCUUGUUGGUGAGGUAACGGCUCACCAAGGCUUCGACGGGUAGCUGGUCUGAGAGGACGAUCAGCCACACUGGCACUGCGACACGGGCCAGACUCCUACGGGAGGCAGCAGUAAGGAAUAUUGCGCAAUGGGCGACAGCCUGACGCAGCGACGCCGCGUGGGGGAUGAAGGUCUUCGGAUUGUAAACCCCUUUCGGCAGGGAAGAUGGAAUGGGUAACCAUUCGGACGGUACCUGCAGAAGCAGCCACGGCUAACUUCGUGCCAGCAGCCGCGGUAAUACGAAGGUGGCAAGCGUUGUUCGGAUUUACUGGGCGUACAGGGAGCGUAGGCGGCUGGGUAAGCCCUCCGUGAAAUCUCCGGGCCUAACCCGGAAAGUGCGGAGGGGACUGCUCGGCUAGAGGAUGGGAGAGGAGCGCGGAAUUCCCGGUGUAGCGGUGAAAUGCGUAGAGAUCGGGAGGAAGGCCGGUGGCGAAGGCGGCGCUCUGGAACAUUUCUGACGCUGAGGCUCGAAAGCGUGGGGAGCAAACAGGAUUAGAUACCCUGGUAGUCCACGCCU
rnacentral:rRNA from 1 species